rnacentral:lncRNA from 10 species
GUCCAGGCUGGAGUGCGGUUGCGCUGUCUCGGUUCACUGCAAACUCCGCCUCCUGGGUUCAAGCGAUUCUCCUGCCUCAGGCUCCGGAGUAGCUGGGAUUACAGGCAUGCGCCACCACUCCUGGCUAAUUUUUGUAUUUUAGUAGCGAUGGGGUUCCGCCAUGCUGGCCAGGCUGGUCUCAGGUGAUCCGCCCGCCUCCUAAAGUGCUGGGAUUACAGGUGUGGGCCACCGCGCCCGACCUACAGGCGCCUUUUUAUUUGCGAUUUUAAGGUCCUUGCAAUUAGCCUACGUGUUAGAGUCAUUUGGCGUUUGGUAGUAUCCAUGGCAGCAUUUUUUCUUUCUUAAUGCUAUUGUAUUUCUUGGAUCGGGUGUCUUCACAUCACCGGCCUGUGGCUUGGAUGCGGCACAUGGUGUAAUUAGGAGCUCCCCUGUGGGCAUGCAGAUACAGAUAUUUCUCCACUUAAGAAGGGGUCAGGGGGCGCGGUGGCUCACACCUGUAAUCCCAGCACUUUGGGAUGCUGAGGCAGGCGGAUCACCUGAGGUCAGGAGUUCGAGACCAGCCUGACCAACAUAGUGAAACCCCAUCUCUACUAAAAGUACAAAAAUUAGCUCGGCGUGGUGGCGCUUAAUCCCAGCUACUUAAGAGGCUGAGGCAGGAGAAUAACUUGAACCCAAGAAGCGGAGGUUGCAGUGAGCAGAGAUCGACAAGAGCAAGACUCCGUCUAAAAAAAAAAAAAAAAAAUGGGGUCAAGUCCCAGUGAACCCAUCAUGAAGUCGAAACAUCGUAAGUGAAACCACGUCAUCAGUGCGGGGAACACUGGAAUUGCGUGCCACCAGAGGACAGAGUGGAGCCAGCGCGGUAUCACUUCUGUGCUGUUCCCAUCGAAGGUCAGUAACCGGAACCCCUUCGCCAGGACGCGGGUCCUGGCCAACCCAAAUCGAGGGGCAUUCUGCAGAUCAGCUGGUCUGCCAUCUUCAAACGAUUCAUGAAAAUCAAAGACAGCUUUGAGGAACGGCUCCAGACUGGCAGAGACCAAAGAGGUCAUAGAUGAACAGGAGAUCCCCAACUGGAUCCUUUGGCUGUAAAGGACAAUAUUGGCACAACGGGUGAAGCUUGAAUGGGGUCUGAGGAUUAGGUGGUAGUAACUUCACAGGCGGGGAUUUGGGAGAAAUGCAAUGUCACGUGGAAAACUGACUCUCAAAUAGUUCAAGAAGGAAGUUCUUUGGACUAUACUUGCAACUUUUCUGUAGGCUUAAUACUGUUUCACAAUUUUAAAAUGUAAAAUAAUAGUACCAGGUAGUAGUUUUUUAUUAAGACAGAUUGUGCUUUUUGAAAGCAUUGGUGGAAAGAUUUCUCAAAAUCAU